rnacentral:rRNA from 1 species
CAGCAGCCACGGGAAUCCGAAGGGGGCUAGCGUUGCUCGGAAUCACUGGGCGUAAAGGGUGCGUAGGCGGGUCUUUAAGUCAGGGGUGAAAUCCUGGAGCUCAACUCCAGAACUGCCUUUGAUACUGAAGAUCUUGAGUUCGGGAGAGGUGAGUGGAACUGCGAGUGUAGAGGUGAAAUUCGUAGAUAUUCGCAAGAACACCAGUGGCGAAGGCGGCUCACUGGCCCGAUACUGACGCUGAGGCACGAAAGCGUGGGGAGCAAACAGGAUUAGAUACCCGUGUAGUCCCUGUCUCUUAUAC